rnacentral:rRNA from 1 species
AUGCGUUGUUGGGUAGGGGAGCGUUCUGUAAGCCUGCGAAGGUGGCCUGUGAGGGUUGCUGGAGGUAUCAGAAGUGCGAAUGCUGACAUAAGUAACGAUAAAGCGGGUGAAAAGCCCGCUCGCCGGAAGACCAAGGGUUCCUGUCCAACGUUAAUCGGGGCAGGGUGAGUCGACCCCUAAGGCGAGGCCGAAAGGCGUAGUCGAUGGGAAACGGGUUAAUAUUCCCGUACUUGGUGUUACUGCGAAGGGGGGACGGAGAAGGCUAUGUUGGCCGGGCGACGGUUGUCCCGGUUUAAGCGUGUAGGUGUGUGUUCCAGGUAAAUCCGGUUCACUUUAACACUGAGGCGUGACGACGAGGCACUACGGUGCUGAAGCAACAAAUGCCCUGCUUCCAGGAAAAGCCUCUAAGCAUCAGGUAACAUCAAAUCGUACCCCAAACCGACACAGGUGGUCAGGUAGAGAAUACCAAGGCGCUUGAGAGAACUCGGGUGAAGGAACUAGGCAAAAUGGUGCCGUAACUUCGGGAGAAGGCACGCUGACACGUAGGUGAAGUGAUUUACUCA